UACGUAGGGCGCAAGCGUUGUCCGGAAUUAUUGGGCGUAAAGAGCUCGUAGGCGGUUUGUCGCGUCUGCUGUGAAAACCUAAGGCUCAACCUUGGGCUUGCAGUGGGUACGGGCAGACUAGAGUGCGGUAGGGGUGACUGGAAUUCCUGGUGUAGCGGUGGAAUGCGCAGAUAUCAGGAGGAACACCGAUGGCGAAGGCAGGUCACUGGGCCGCAACUGACGCUGAGGCACGAAAGCGUGGGGAGCAAACAGG
rnacentral:rRNA from 1 species